AUACGGAGGGUGCAAGCGUUAUCCGGAUUCAUUGGGUUUAUAGGGUGCGCAGGCGGACUUGUAAGUCAGUGGUGAAAUCCCGGGGCUCAACCUCGGAACUGCCAUUGAUACUGCAAGUCUUGAGUUUGGUUGAAGUGGGCGGAAUGUAGCAUGUAGCGGUGAAGUGCAUAGAUAUGCUACAGAACACCGAUCGCGAAGGCAGCUCACUAAACCAACACUGACGCUCAGGCACGAAAACGUGGGGAGCGAACAGGAUUAGAAACCCCAGUAGUCC
rnacentral:rRNA from 1 species